AUUGAACGCUGGCGGCAGGCCUAACACAUGCAAGUCGAACGAGUGGCGGACGGGUGAGUAAUGUCUGGGAAACUCCCUGAUGGAGGGGGAUAACUACUGGAAACGGUAGCUAAUACCGCAUACCAUCGGAUGUGCCCAGAUGGGAUUAGCUAGUUGGUGGGGUAAAGGCUCACCUAGGCGACGAUCCCUAGCUGGUCGGAGAGGAUGACCAGCCACACUGGAUCUGAGACACGGCCCAGACUCAUCUGGGAGGCAGCAGUGGGGAAUAUUGCACAAUGGGAUCAACCCUGGUAUAGCCAUGCCGCGUGUAUUAAGAAGGCCUUCGGGUUGUAAAGUACUUUCAGCGGGGAAGCGUUACCCGCAGAAGAAGCACCGGCUAACUCCGUGCCAGCAGCCGCGGUAAUUC
rnacentral:rRNA from 1 species